UCAUAACAGCGCAGUGCGAUUUUGUAAAGUAGUCCGGUUGGCAUAACUCCGCCUCAUUUCGGUUUACUAUUUAGUGUCUACGAAGAAACAACUUGCAAUUUAGAGUUUUAUCCUUCACUCUUUGGGUUCUGUUUUGGGACAAUCAUGCUCUUUAUGUCAGUUUUAUACUGCAAAUUUGGAGGGUUAAACAGUUAUAGAGAUAUUAAGGUCAUCCAACAUACAGUGAAGAUUCUCAACAUAGUUCAUUGCAGCUGGGAUGUACUAUAACGGGAUAUGUCACUCGCGCUUUCGUAUGUUCCAGAUUGCAGUUUUAAAAGUUUUUGAAUUUUAAAUAGAUAACCAUCCACAUGUUGGAGCCAUAUUCUUCAAGACCACAAGGAUAGGACACAUAGAUAUUUUAUCUAUUUGCUGGUGAAUGUACUAAACUAUUGUUGGAAAUGAGGCAAAAUGUGUGACAUCUAUGUUCUAUUGAGCAUUAAAAAAAGAGGAUCAAUUUGUAUUAACUGUACAGUAUUGGUCAAGAUAAAAAAAAAUUCAUUUGGGAUGGCAUGUGAGAAGUCAAUGACUUGUCUAUGUUUGACAGUAUGCCAAAGGUGAAUUAGUGAAAAAGCUGAAUGCUGCAGUGGCAGAUGCAAUAGUAUUUUUACUUGAUUGUAAAACAAGUUUUGCAAGUUUAUAAAUCACUUUCUACUCAAAAACUGGAUGCAUAAGAGUAAACAUGAUUGAUGUUACCUUGUUUGGCUCAAACCCACAAACUGGAUGAGAACUUUGCAAGACUACGUUGCCAAGUACAAAGACAUAAGUUAGCUGUCAUUUGUGACUUGCAUGUGUUUGACAGAAUAUGGUUUUAAUAUCUGUAGAUGUUUCUAAAUUUAAAAUUUCACUGUUCUCAUAUUUAAAUGUUGAAUUCUGCUUAAGCAGGUGCUAGGGGGUUGGAUGGUAACUUACACUUUCCAUUACCGUCCAUGAACAGGCUCAAUAAAACCGAGCCUGAAACAUUGUCAAUUUUGUUGUUCUUGGCAUUCUUUGGGGAUUCUGUUUGUCUCUAUUUAAUAAUUGUUUAUAGAAAUUAUUUCAAUUAAAGAAUAUACUAAUAUGUUAAUAUAUUCAUAUUAUACAGUUUAAAAUAGACUGAAUAUGAUUACACAGUCAAUAUCUGUAACUGAAAAUAUAGUCAGGAAAAUAGUACAAGCUCUGAAAGACCUUAAAAAUUAUUGUGAAUAGAGAUAUUUAAUAUGGUUUACUUCUAUGAAAUGCCAUUAUUCUAAAUUAUACAGUUUUUAUGCCACCACAGCAUCUGUGAUGCGGUGGCAUAUAGCGAUUCACCUGUGUGUGUGUGUGUUUGUGUGUUUUAUAGAUUAUAAUAUAGUGAACUUAAAAAUCUUUUUGUGAAAAACCACUUGUCCAAUUUCAACCAAACUUGACAAGUUGUUCAAAGAAUUUCAUACCAUGCAGAAAUCUGGUUACCAUGGCAACCAAAAGGAAUUAUAAGGAUAAAUUUAAAAAUCUUCUUGUAAAGACCCACAAGGCCUAGAGUAUAGAUAUUUUGCAUAAGGCAUUGUCUGGUAGACCUCUACGAAGAUUGUUCAAAUUAUAGCCCUGGGGUCAAAAUUGGCCGGCCCCAGGGGUCAUUGAUUUUCACUAUAUGUACAUAUAGUAAAAACUUAAAAUACCUUCUUGUCUGAAAGUUCAAGGCUUAGAGCUUUGAUAUUUGGUAUAUGAUAUCAUCUAUAUGUACUCUGCCAAAGUUUUCAAAUUUUGCCUCUAGUGUCAAAAUUAGCCCCGCCCUGGGGGUCAUAAGUUUUGUGUCGCCUUGAAAAAGGUGACAUAUAGGGGUUACUUUUGUCGUCAGUGUCGGUGUCCCCUUAAGCUUGUCAGGAGCAUAAGUCAGUCAUUAUAAGUCGGAUUGACUUCAAACUUGAUAUGCAUGCUUCUUAUAAUGACCCAAAGUGCAGUGCACAAGAACUGAUACUCUGGGCCAUUUCUUCUAAAGUAUAAAAUCUAUGGACUUGAAACUUCAUAGGAUGAUUGAUCUCAUUUGAGAAAGGCUAAUCUAAUUGACAAAUGUCAUAAAGUAAAAAAUUUAAAAUCUUCUUGUCUGAAGGUACUAAUCUGAUAAUAACAAUUAGAUAGGUAAGUGAUCUAUGCAUUAUGGCAGUCUGUAUAGAAACAAAAAUAUUGUGUUCCUACAUUAAUAUAGAGUGUUGUAUCAAUGCGGUGGCUUGGCAUUUUUUACAAAUGCAAUCUUGUUUUGGCAUCAUUUUUUUUACCACGGCAACCAAAAAUACACUUUUUUGUAAUCAUUGCAAUAAGGAAUAUAUAUGUUUUGCAUUGUAUUAAUAAUGUAUAUGCCACCAUGUUACAGAUAUGAGUUUUAUAGAGGACUUACUUAAGUAAUGAUAUUCACCUUAAUCAUAGAAAACUUACUGAUAAUCUGAGAAUUUAAGACUUAAGUUUAUAUUCUGUUAUUUAAAACAUUAUUAAGGGAAGAAUGAAAAAUCUAUUUUUUUUCUUUUUCUGAAAGGUCUUAAAUCUGGUUGUCUUUAAAUACAUUAAUUUCGUGAUGAAUUAAUCAUGUCAAAUGCAAUAAUGUUGUAUUUGAAGUAUUUUUUAUAUUUUUGUUGCCAUGGCAACCAAAUAUUUUAUAGUUUUUAUAUCAUUUAUUACAUAUUUCAUACAUAGAUGAAUGAUAACUUUAUAUUUUAUUUAUUUUAUUAUUCAAAACUAUAGAAUAAUUUCUAGUUUAUAUAUACCAAUAAAAGUUUAACAUGUAUUUUUUGUUUUUAUGAUGAUAUCAUAGAAAUUAGAAUAUUUCGUAAAAUAUCAAGUAUUUUUUAAAAAAAAUCACUGUUUCCAUCUAUUCAACAAAAUUUAUGUUGUUCUACCCCAAACUGGUCAUAACUGAUUUCUGUCCAGAGUAAAUUGAAGAGUGCAUCCUGUUUUUUGUACACGUCUUUAUACACUUGACAUAUCGAAUACUAGAGUGCAACCCGUUUGUGCACAUGCAUAUAUACCAAAAAUACAUCCUAUAUAAGAGUGCAACCCGUUUUAGCACACACCUACAUACCCUUAUGGAUUCCGUUUAAGAGUGUAACCCGUUUUUGUACACACCUGUAUACUCAAAAAAGAGUCUAUAUUAGAGUGCAACCCGUUUUUGUACACAUCUAUAUACACUUGAUAUAUACAAUUUAAGAGUGCAACCCGUUUUUGCACACGUAUAAAUACCGUAUAUAGAUUAGAUUUAAGAAUUCAACCUGUUUUUGUACAUACAUAAACACGUUAAUAAGAAU